rnacentral:misc_RNA from 1 species
GUCAUCUUCAUCUUUCCACAUAAAAAAAUCAUCAAAAGUUUGUAGUAAUAAUAUUGAUGAUUUAUCUCUAAAGAAAUCAACAACAUUGGCUAAUUGGUAUGAAGAAUUUGAAGUACUUUCAAGAAAUUAUAAAAAAGCUCAAGAACCAUCAUCAAGGUACAAAUUACAAGUUAUUAAAGAAGUUCAAGAAUUGUCAUCUUCACCUAAUGUUUUUAUUCCAAU